UGGGGGAACCCUGAUCCAGCCAUGCCGCGUGUGUGAAGAAGGCCUUAGGGUUGUAAAGCACUUUCAGUGGGGAAGAAGGCAUGACGAUUAAUACCCGUCAUGAAGGACAUCACCCACAGAAGAAGCACCGGCUAACUCCGUGCCAGCAGCCGCGGUAAUACGGAGGGUGCAAGCGUUAAUCGGAAUUACUGGGCGUAAAGGGCGCGUAGGCGGCUUGCCAAGCCGGAUGUGAAAGCCCCGGGCUCAACCCGGGAACGGCAUUCGGAACUGGCAGGCUAGAGUGCAGGAGAGGAAGGUGGAAUUCCCGGUGUAGCGGUGAAAUGCGUAGAGAUCGGGAGGAAUACCAGUGGCGAAGGCGGCCUUCUGGACUGACACUGACGCUGAGGCGCGAAAGCGUGGGUAGCAAACAGGAUUAGAUACCCUGGUAGUCCACGCCGUAAACGAUGUCGACCAGCCGUUGGACCCCUUGAGGGUUUGGUGGCGCAGUUAACGCAAUAAGUCGACCGCCUGGGGAGUACGGCCGCAAGGCUAAAACUCAAAUGAAUUGACGGGGGCCCGCACAAGCGGUGGAGCAUGUGGUUUAAUUCGAUGCAACGCGAAGAACCUUACCUGCUCUUGACAUCCUGCGAAUCUCCCAGAGAUGGGAGAGUGCCUUCGGGAGCGCAGAGACAGGUGCUGCAUGGCUGUCGUCAGCUCGUGUUGUGAAAUGUUGGGUUAAGUCCCGUAACGAGCGCAACCCCUAUCCCUUUUGCCAGCGGUCCGGCCGGGAACUUCCAGGAGACUGCCGGUGACAAACCGGAGCAAGGUGAGGACGACGUCCAGUCAUCAUGACCCUUA
rnacentral:rRNA from 1 species